CUCCUGGAAAACGGGUGGUAAUGCCGGAUGUUCCACAUGAUCGCAUGUGAUUGUGGGAAAGAUUCUAUCGGCGUGGGAUGGGGUCGCGUCCUAUCAGCUUGUUGGUGAGGUAACGGCUCACCAAGGCUUCGACGGGUAGCCGGCCUGAGAGGGCGACCGGCCACAUUGGGACUGAGAUACGGCCCAGACUCCUACGGGAGGCAGCAGUGGGGAAUAUUGCACAAUGGGCGCAAGCCUGAUGCAGCGACGCCGCGUGAGGGAUGGAGGCCUUCGGGUUGUAAACCUCUUUUGUUUGGGAGCAAGCCUUCGGGUGAGUGUACCUUUCGAAUAAGCGCCGGCUAACUACGUGCCAGCAGCCGCGGUAAUACGUAGGGCGCAAGCGUUAUCCGGAUUUAUUGGGCGUAAAGGGCUCGUAGGCGGCUCGUCGCGUCCGGUGUGAAAGUCCAUCGCUUAACGGUGGAUCUGCGCCGGGUACGGGCGGGCUGGAGUGCGGUAGGGGAGACUGGAAUUCCCGGUGUAACGGUGGAAUGUGUAGAUAUCGGG
rnacentral:rRNA from 1 species